rnacentral:rRNA from 1 species
UACGGAGGGUGCAAGCGUUGUUCGGAAUUACUGGGCGUAAAGGGCGCGUAGGCGGUCUGUUAAGUUCGGUGUGAAAGCCCCCGGCUCACCUGGGGAACUGCGCCGGAAACCGACAGACUCGAGUACCGGAGAGGGGGGUGGAAUUCCUGGUGUAGCGGUGAAAUGCGUAGAUAUCAGGAGGAACACCGGUGGCGAAGGCGGCCCUCUGGACGGAUACUGACGCUGAGGCGCGAAAGCGUGGGGAUCAAACAGG